rnacentral:rRNA from 1 species
UACGGAGGGUGCGAGCGUUAAUCGGAAUUACUGGGCGUAAAGGGUGCGUAGGUGGUCUGAUAAGUUAUCUGUGAAAUCCCUGGGCUCAACCUGGGCAGGUCAGAUAAGACUGUUGGACUCGAGUAUAGGAGAGGGUAGUGGAAUUUCCGGUGUAGCGGUGAAAUGCGUAGAGAUCGGAAGGAACACCAGUGGCGAAGGCGGCUACCUGGCCUGAUACUGACACUGAGGCACGAAAGCGUGGGGAGCAAAC